CAUGCCUACGGGGCGCAGCAGUGGGGAAUAUUGCACAAUGGGCGAAAGCCUGAUGCAGCAACGCCGCGUGAAGGAAGAAGGGUUUCGGCUCGUAAACUUCUAUCAACAGGGACGAAAGAAAUGACGGUACCUGAAUAUGAAGCCCCGGCUAACUACGUGCCAGCAGCCGCGGUAAUACGUAGGGGGCAAGCGUUAUCCGGAAUUACUGGGUGUAAAGGGAGCGUAGGCGGGACUGUAAGUUGGGUGUCAAAUCUACCGGCUAAACCGGUAGCCGCACUCAAAUCUGCAGUUCUUGAGUGGAGUAG
rnacentral:rRNA from 1 species